rnacentral:rRNA from 1 species
CCUACGGGUGGCAGCAGUGGGGAAUAUUGGACAAUGGGCGAAAGCCUGAUCCAGCCAUGCCGCGUGUGUGAAGAAGGCCUUCGGGUUGUAAAGCACUUUCAGUGGGGAAGAAAGCCUUGGGGCUAAUACCCUCGAGGAAGGACAUCACCCACAGAAGAAGCACCGGCUAACUCCGUGCCAGCAGCCGCGGUAAUACGGAGGGUGCGAGCGUUAAUCGGAAUUACUGGGCGUAAAGCGCGCGUAGGCGGUCUGAUAAGCCGGUUGUGAAAGCCCCGGGCUCAACCUGGGAACGGCAUCCGGAACUGUCAGGCUAGAGUGCAGGAGAGGAAGGUAGACUUCCCGGUGUAGCGGUGAAAUGCGUAGAGAUCGGGAGGAAUACCAGUGGCGAAGGCGGCCUUCUGGACUGACACUGACGCUGAGGUGCGAAAGCGUGGGUAGCAAACAGGAUUAGAUACCCCAGUAGUC